GAUAAGAACGCAGCGAAAUGCGAUAAGUAAUGUGAAUUGCAGAAUUCAGUGAAUCAUCGAAUCUUUGAACGCACAUUGCGCCCGCCAGUAUUCUGGCGGGCAUGCCUGUUCGAGCGUCAUUUCAACCAUCAAGCCCCAGGCUUGUGUUGGAGCCCUGCGGCUGCCGCAGCCUCCCAAAACCAGUGGCGGGCUCGCUAUCACACCGAGUGCAGUAGUUUACUCUUCGCUCAGGGCGUGUGGCGGGUGCUAGCCGUAAAACCCCCAACUUCUCAAGGUUGACCUCGGAUCAGGUAGGAAUACCCGCUGAACUUAAGCAUAUCAAUAAGCGGAGGA
rnacentral:misc_RNA from 1 species